rnacentral:rRNA from 1 species
UCUGAGUGCCUAAAUACCCUGAAGGUACCAGAUCAUCUCUAAUCUCAGAAACUAAGCAGGGUUAUCCCGGGUUUGUACUUGGAUGGGAGACCAGCAAUGGUUGCCAGGUUCUGUAGGCU